rnacentral:rRNA from 1 species
UACGUAGGGGGCUAGCGUUGUCCGGAUUCAUUGGGCGUAAAGCGCGUGUAGGCGGCCAGGUAGGUCCGAUGUGAAAACUGGAGGCUCAACCUCCAGCUGUCAUUGGAAACCAUCUGGCUAGAGUCCGGAAGAGGAGACUGGAAUUCAUGGUGUAGCAGUGAAAAUGCGUAGAGAUCAUGAGGAAGACCAGUGGCGAAGGCGGGGUCUCUGGACAGUUCCUGACACUGAGGCACGAAGGCCAGGGGGAGCAAACGGGG